GAGGAGGUUACAAGACCUGCUAACUCUUUAAUCUGGGACUUGACCCCAGCCCCUUU
rnacentral:tRNA from 1 species